GUUUUAGUUGUGAUUUCUGGAAAGUCUCCAAGUUUUUAAAACUCUGGGAAUACUUUCCAUCUUCAAUCGUCCGUUCUUCAUCCCCGUUAUGGUAAUUUCUUGGGUUAAAAUGUCUAGACUUCCUCUUGAAUAUCGGACUAUAAUGCUUGCAAGUACCCUGUAAAAUUUCUUCUCUAAUAUCUCUCAUGGGCGAAUCUGCAGCCCUAUGCAAAGGAGAAUUUGGCAAAGAUGCGCUGUGACUGAUUUCCAUUGUGGAAGUGUUACGAGUGAAAGAAGCUGGAUCCACCACUUCAUCGUCGUAAUGGAAUACAGAACAAGAAGCACCUGAGAAUACACUGCUACUUCUACAUGUGUCUUUAUGCACAUCAUCCAGAGACCCUAACAUUGUAUCAACAUCGUCCCCGUUUUCCGAGGGGUCUCGACUAUGAUCACAGAUCAUUGCAUCAGAAUCAACGUUGGACAACGUUUCCAAAUACAACCUUUUCUGGUUAUCAGACAAAGUGGGAGUCAAUUGACUAGAAUCACAGAUUAUUCCUGCCAUAUUGUCCGAAUUUUCCGAGUUACGAUUGUUCAGUCCUUCGUCAUCUAUGAACUUGAUUCCAGGAUUGGCGAGAUCCGCCCAGCGAUUCUCGUCACCAUCUUUCAUUAUACUGGACACUUCAUUGUGUAAACUAGUCCUCAUGUUGGCACUUGACACCGAUGAUGAAUUAUUGUUUGCAUGAACCAGCGUCUCUCCGUUAGGUGUCCCCACAGUCACCUCUGUUGAGCUGACCUUGGGGAUUGCACCUUGACCAAUGAACUUAUCCUUCAGAACAGAAUUGUCUACACUGUUAAAGGCGUUAUUUUGAGCAACGGAUUCGGAGGCAGGUGAAAGAGAUCUGUUUUUCAUGCUGGGUGACCAGUGCAGUCGUUCACCAUUGAACACAUUAUUAUUACUACUCAAAUUACUACUUAUGUCACAAAGAACCUUCUCCUCAUUUUGAUUGGAUGAAUUUGAAGACUUUUUAAUGUCCAUGAAGACAUGGCUUGUGCCUCGAUUAACAUUAUCACCACUAUACGUUUCUGACACUAAUAUUCCGUCCUCUUGGCCCAUGUCUUCCAAGUCAACAGGCAAAUCUUCGUCUGAAACAACAGUGAAUUCAUGAAAACAUUUCGCCUAGCAAACAACGUUAAAUGGAUAACUCUUUUUCAGUCACAGGCAAACCGAAGUUCAAAUUAAUGCCUUUUCAAAAAAGGUAGUUUUCAUGUAUGUUAAAAAUGCAUUGUCAAGAUUACGAUUUCUAAUUGGUGUUAUACCAUAAUGUGCUUUCUUUGCCUGUGUAUGGUGCAACACUAACGGAACAGAAGCUCUGUAUUCAAUAAAUUUUAAUUUCUUU
rnacentral:sRNA from 1 species